AGCGGGUCCGAAGGUAGUGAGUUAUCUCUCUUGAUUGUUCACAGUCAGUUACAGAUUAAACUCCUUGCUCUACUCUUUCCCCCUUCUCACUACUGCAUUUGACUAGUCUUAA
rnacentral:Y_RNA from 1 species